rnacentral:rRNA from 1 species
UACGAAGGGGGCUAGCGUUGCUCGGAAUUACUGGGCGUAAAGGGCGCGUAGGCGGACAGUCUAGUCAGAGGUGAAAGCCCAGGGCUCAACCUUGGAAUUGCCUUUGAUACUGGCUGUCUUGAGUUCGGGAGAGGUGAGUGGAAUGCCGAGUGUAGAGGUGAAAUUCGUAGAUAUUCGGCGGAACACCAGUGGCGAAGGCGACUCACUGGCCCGAUACUGACGCUGAGGUGCGAAAGCGUGGGGAGCAAACAGG